rnacentral:rRNA from 1 species
AUGAUCAGGUUGAUAGGUUUGAGGUGGAAGCAUGGUGACAUGUGGAGCUGACAAAUACUAAUCGGUCGAGGACUUAACCAAA